rnacentral:rRNA from 1 species
GAUGAACGCUGGCGGCGUGCCUAAUACAUGCAAGUCGAGCGAACGGACGAGAAGCUUGCUUCUCUGAUGUUAGCGGCGGACGGGUGAGUAACACGUGGAUAACCUACCUAUAAUACUGUUAUAACUUCGGGAAACCGGAGCUAAUACCGGAUAAUAUUUUGAACCGCAUGGUUCAACAGUUAAAUACGGUCUUGCUGUCACUUAUAGAUGGAUCCGCGCUGCAUUAGCUAGUUGGUAAGGUAACGGCUUACCAAGGCAACGAUUCAUAGCCGACCUGAGAGGGGGAACGGGCACACUGGAACAGAGACACGGACCAGACUCAUACGGGAGGCAGCAGUAGGGAAUGUUCCGCAAUGGGCGAAAGCGUGACGGAGCAAAGCCGCGUGAGUGAGGAAGGUCUACGGAUCGUAAAACUCUGUUAUGAGGGAAGAAAAAAUGUGUAAGUAACUGGGAACAUCUUGACGGUACCUAAUCAGAAAGCCACGGCUAACUACGUG